rnacentral:rRNA from 1 species
GAAGUGCGAAUGCUGACAUAAGUAACGAUAAAGCGGGUGAAAAGCCCGCUCGCCGGAAGACCAAGGGUUCCUGUCCAACGUUAAUCGGGGCAGGGUGAGUCGACCCCUAAGGCGAGGCCGAAAGGCGUAGUCGAUGGGAAACAGGUUAAUAUUCCUGUACUUGGUGUUACUGCGAAGGGGGGACGGAGAAGGCUAUGUUGGCCGGGCGACGGUUGUCCCGGUUUAAGCGUGUAGGCUGGUUUUCCAGGCAAAUCCGGAAAAUCAAGGCUGAGGCGUGAUGACGAGGCACUACGGUGCUGAAGCAACAAAUGCCCUGCUUCCAGGAAAAGCCUCUAAGCAUCAGGUAACAUCAAAUCGUACCCCAAACCGACACAGGUGGUCAGGUAGAGAAUACCAAGGCGCUUGAGAGAACUCGGGUGAAGGAACUAGGCAAAAUGGUGCCGUAACUUCGGGAGAA